rnacentral:lncRNA from 1 species
UGAUGAUACCACAGAAUUAAAAUGUAUCCACAUCCAAACCAACAAGGAAGAAUGCAAGGAGCAGCUGCUAACCUAAGCUCCCAAGAAUUGUAAAUUUUUGGGUAAAUUACAUUUUAGCCCCCUGUGGUUUUCACAAAAAUCACAUAACCCCCCAUGAUUCAAAAAGCUAUACAUAAACUCCCUGUGAUUUGGGUUGAACUGUCAAAUAGACGGAAAGAAGCCAUCGUGACGGUUCGUGGGCAAAAUGUCCAAAUUACCCUAAUAUAAAUACAAAAAGAAAGCAGAUGAAGUCAGACUCUCCCUUGCUCUGGCCUUUGUCGUGAGAAAGAGAAGAUUAUCGGCUUUUACCUUCGGACUUUGGAGAAGGUUCGGUGACUGGUGGGUAGUGAUAAGGGUGGUGGGGAUCUUGGCUUGCGGAAUUUGGCUGCUUUGGGGAUUUCUUCUUACAGCUCCUUUCCUUAUUUUUGUAUUAUUUCGCUUUUAUUUUUUAUUCCCUCCUUUUGAGUCUUGUGAAGGGGUUUGUUAUUUAUGGGUAGCGUGAAGAAUUGUGUUGUAAAAAGAAUCUGUCAGCCACUGGGGAGAUAUGGUAGGACACAGCCAGA